AGAACGAACGCUGGCGGCAUGCCUAACACAUGCAAGUCGAACGAGACCUUCGGGUCUAGUGGCGCACGGGUGCGUAACGCGUGGGAAUCUGCCCUUGGGUUCGGAAUAACAGCGAGAAAUUGCUGCUAAUACCGGAUGAUGACGUAAGUCCAAAGAUUUAUCGCCCAAGGAUGAGCCCGCGUAGGAUUAGCUUGUUGGUGAGGUAAGAGCUCACCAAGGCGACGAUCCUUAGCUGGUCUGAGAGGAUGAUCAGCCACACUGGGACUGAGACACGGCCCAGACUCCGUACGGGAGGCAGCAGGUGGGGAAUAUUGGACAAGU
rnacentral:rRNA from 1 species